UGAGGAAUAUUGGACAAUGGAGGCAACUCUGAUCCAGCCAUGCCGCGUGAAGGACUAAGGCCCUAUGGGCUGUAAACUUCUUUAGACGCAGAGCAAUAAGGGCCACGCGUGGUCCGAUGAGAGUAUGCGUAGAAUAAGGACCGGCUAAUUCCGUGCCAGCAGCCGCGGUAAUACGGAAGGUCCGGGCGUUAUCCGGAUUUAUUGGGUUUAAAGGGAGCGUAGGCUGUCCUUUAAGCGUGUUGUGAAAUGUAGGCGCUCAACGCCUGCACUGCAGCGCGAACUGAAGGACUUGAGUGUGCACAACGCUGGCGGAAUUCGUGGUGUAGCGG
rnacentral:rRNA from 1 species